rnacentral:tRNA from 1 species
AUUAAUUUCAUAUAAAUAAUUAUUAAUAAAUUAAAUAUUUAUUAUUUAUUAAAUUAAAAAAUUAAUU